rnacentral:tRNA from 1 species
GGAGAGGUGCGAGAGCGGUUGAAUCGGGCAGUCUCGAAAACUGUUGUGGGCGUAAGCUCACCGAGAGUUCGAAUCUCUCCCUCUCCG